AUACUCGUGCAUCAAUAUUCC
rnacentral:siRNA from 1 species